UUUACUGGAGUUGUGCGCAUGCUCGCUUGAGGCAUUUUUCUCUUACCAGCGCAAUGUCCCUAGGAGGUCAUGCACCGGUUAAACUCUGCUAUUAUGCCUCUUACUGGGCAUGCUCGAGCCCACGGGCCCAACUCCUGAGAUCCCAUCUGGAAGCUGCUGAUCACCAGUUUCAAGUGUUUCUGUUUAUUGGGAGACUGCCUUCCUCUGGCACUGGCAGUGACCAAUUAUUAUUUUAGAGAGAUUGUUAACUGCCUGCUCAUCACCUGAUGAAUAUCAGGAAUGUGGCCUGACAUUCCUGGUGUGUGUGGUGGGGGGUACUAGGGGAGCUCUCUCCUACGCUGCUCGUGUCUGACUAGUUGGAUUCUGCAGAGUGGAAGUGGGAAACUCCUUCUGACCCUGGCCACCUGUCUCCAUGUGAAGGCAGAUCCAUUUGAGUGACAGUCCGAGGCAAUACGUCAACUGCCUCUCACUUCCCAAGACAAAUAAACCCACUUGACCUUGAUGUGCUUUUUGUGAAUACAUUGUGAGAUUGGACUUUCGGAUAUUUUAUUUAGAAUUUUUGCAUCUAUAUUCUUUGGGAGGUACACGGAGCGCCUUCUUUUCGUUUAGAGCAUUGGUGGCUCCACAUUAGAAGCAUCCUAUGUAGCUGUUCUGGCUGCAGCUGCCCAAGUCUGCCUGGGCCUCCUGCAUGAGGUCACGAGUCUUAAUAAAGCCACUGACCCACACAUUUGGAAUCGUACUGACUUUUCACAACUAACAGCCAACACAUUGCCAAGAAGCAAUUCAAUUGUUGAGGAUAUCACAUCAUGCCAGGGAAAGAGAGAUGGAAUUCAGAAAGCCUGGGAUAUUGCAGUUCAGAUGAAUUGCACUUGGUCAACGGAAAUGUCCUAAGGGCAUUGCAGCUGCAGCUGGAGAAUGAAGAAGACAUAAAAUUAGGGCUUUUGUCACUGUCGCUUGAUUUCAUUAAAGGGCAUUAGUUCUUGGCGAGAUGUAUGGGGUUGGAGAGGACAGAAGCCAGCAGCUCCCAGUGCAGCAGCAAGGCUGGCCCACGUGAGCACCUGGAGCAUCAUUUCUGCUGCCACAUGCUUGGGCUGCCCCACCCCGCCGUGCCCUGCUCAGCCGUGCCCUGCUCCAUCUCCCUCGCCAGGCCUGAGACCGGCCCCCAUUGUGACUCCUGAGGUCUCUCAGCUGUCCCUCAACCUCCAGGAGAAUUGCUCUCCACUCCAGAAGCCGCCUGAUGGGGAGGCUGACCCCUCUCCAGGAAUGACUGAUCCAGGUUUAUCCUGACAGUAACCUCUCCCCAGGUCGGAAGACCUCUCAGGCUCUGUUUCUAGGGAGGCUGACCUGCUGACAAUGCUCCUAGCUGGAUUUUGUAAGUGGUCUUGAAUAAAGUCUUCCUUACUGUUUUAACAAGAGACAGGGUAAUGUUCAUUGAAUAUCUUAUACAAAGAGGAAAUCUGGCACAGAAGUGGACACGCACUCGGAGGGAAAAUGCCAAGUGACAAUGAAGGCAGAGAUCAGGUGAUGCAUCUGCAAGCUGAGCAACAUCAGGAAUUGCCAAAAACCACCAGGAGCUGGAGAGGCCUGGGACAGAGCCUCCCAUGGAGCCUCAAGGGAGCCAGCCCUGCCCAUGGAGAGGCCUGGGACGGAGCCUCCCACGGAGCCUCAAGGGAGCCAGCCCUGCCCACGCCUUGAUCUUUGACGUCCGACCUCAAGAACUAUGAGAGAACCCAUUUCUGUUGGUGAAGACUCCCCGUCUGUGGUCCCCUAUCCUGGCAGCCCUGGGAAGCUGACCUCUGGUCCCUCUGCAUCCCUGGCAUCACUCUGCCUCCCCCUCUUUUUCUCCAGUGAAUCCGACACACUCUCAGUGAGACAGCCAGGUGGCAAGGGGUCCUCGGAGAAACUCCAGCCGGCCUGCUCACUGGGCAUGUACACUGGAGUAGAGCCACAGAAGUUCAUGGUGUUUGCAGCAGGGAGGAGCCUGGCCACUCCUCUUCCUGGUUGGAACCUGGGAUUUAUUUUGUGAGGCGGGAAGCCUAUACUGGGGAGACUCUUGUUCUGCUGAGUCACCAUUCCCCCUUUAUUUUCCUUUUUGCCCAAUAAAUCCUAUUAUUCUCAGUCUUCAAA
rnacentral:lncRNA from 1 species